rnacentral:rRNA from 1 species
UACGUAGGGGGCAAGCGUUGUCCGGAUUUAUUGGGCGUAAAGCGCUCGCAGGUGGUUCGUCGCGUCGUGCGUGAAAGACCCCGGCUCAACUGGGGGAGGUCGUGCGAUACGGGCGAACUGGAGGCCAGUAGGGGGAUGCGGAAUUCCGGGUGUAGUGGUGGAAUGCGUAGAGAUCCGGAGGAACACCAGCGGCGAAGGCGGCAUCUUGGACUGGUCCUGGCACUCAUGAGCGAAAGCGUGGGGAGCGAUCCGG